AAAACUUUCAACAAUGGAUCUCUUGGUUCCGGCAUCGAUGAAGAACGCAGCGAAAUGCGAUAAGUAAUGCGAAUUGCAGAAUUCCGUGAGUCAUCGAAUCUUUGAACGCACAUUGCGCCCCCCGGCUUCCCGGGGGGCAUGCCUGUCCGAGCGUCAUUG
rnacentral:rRNA from 1 species